AGUUUAUGAAUUAUAUAGAAUCAACCGUCUCUACUCCAAAGUCUAAAAUAUGGACAUCUUUAAUUGAAGGAUACUGUGAAGCCGGUGAUCUGGCUAAAGCUUCAGAGGCAUUUGAAAUGAUGGUCGAAAAGGAAGGGCCAUCCCAUGCUGGGUAUGCUUUAGAACUCUUAGUGUCCUUGCACUGCCGCAAGAGAAGAGCGAUUCAUGGAUUCAAUCUUGUUGAGAAGAUGGUUAAUGAGAAAGAACUACGUGUGUGGCAUACCACAUAUAAGUUCUUGAUAGGAAAAUUAUUGGCCCAACGAGGUUUCGAGGAAGCUCUAGAUGUUUUACAUUUGAUGAAAAGUCAAGAUUACCCACCUUUUCUGGAUCCCUUCAUCAAGUACCUUUCCAAGACUGGAAGUGCUGAUGAUGCACUUGCAUUUACUGCAGCAGUGACCCUGAAGAAACUUCCAUCAACUUCUGUGUUUCUCAAUUUGUUUGAAGCAUACUUUAAAGCAGGAAGGCGGAGUGAAGCACAGGACUUCCUUGCAAUAUGUCCCAGAUACAUUAGGAAUCACGCAGAUGUUUUGAAUCUUUUCUGUUCCAAGAAACCACAGAAAGCAACUGCCACUAUUCCUGCAACUGCAUAGGUCAGAUGGAUACGUCGUCUAGUUUUUUU
rnacentral:misc_RNA from 1 species